CCUACGGGGUGCAGCAGUGAGGAAUAUUGGUCAAUGGCCGCAGGGCUGAACCAGCCAAGUCGCGUGAGGGAUGACGGUCCUAUGGAUUGUAAACCUCUUUUGUCAGGGAGCAAAGGGCGCCACGUGUGGCGCUUUGCGAGUACCUGAAGAAAAAGCAUCGGCUAACUCCGUGCCAGCAGCCGCGGUAAUACGGGGGAUGCGAGCGUUAUCCGGGUUUAUUGGGUUUAAAGGGUGCGCAGGCGGAAUGUCAAGUCAGCGGUAAAAUUUCGGGGCUCAACCCCGUCGUGACGUUGAAACUGGCGUUGUUGAGUGAGCGAGAGGUAUGCGGAAUGCGUGGUGUAGCGGUGAAAUGCAUAGAUAUCACGCAGAACUCCGAUUGCGAAGGCAGCAUACCGGCGCUCAACUGACGCUCAUGCACGAAAGCGUGGGUAUCGAACAGGAUUAGAUACCCCUGUAGUC
rnacentral:rRNA from 1 species